UGCGGAAGGAUCAUUACCGAGUGCGGGUCCUUUGGGCCCAACCUCCCAUCCGUGUCUAUUGUACCCUGUUGCUUCGGCGGGCCCGCCGCUUGUCGGCCGCCGGGGGGGCGCCUCUGCCCCCCGGGCCCGUGCCCGCCGGAGACCCCAACACGAACACUGUCUGAAAGCGUGCAGUCUGAGUUGAUUGAAUGCAAUCAGUUAAAACUUUCAACAAUGGAUCUCUUGGUUCCGGCAUCGAUGAAGAACGCAGCGAAAUGCGAUAACUAAUGUGAAUUGCAGAAUUCAGUGAAUCAUCGAGUCUUUGAACGCACAUUGCGCCCCCUGGUAUUCCGGGGGGCAUGCCUGUCCGAGCGUCAUUGCUGCCCUCAAGCCCGGCUUGUGUGUUGGGUCGCCGUCCCCCUCUCCGGGGGGACGGGCCCGAAAGGCAGCGGCGGCACCGCGUCCGAUCCUCGAGCGUAUGGGGCUUUGUCACAUGCUCUGUAGGAUUGGCCGGCGCCUGCCGACGUUUUCCAACCAUUCUUUCCAGGGUGACCUCGGAUCAGGUAGGGAUACCCGCUGAACUUAAGCAUAUCAAUAAGGCGGGAAGAAUCAUUACCGAGUGCGGGUCCUUUGGGCCCACCUCCAUCCUGUCUUUGGUACCUGUUGCUUCGGGGGCC
rnacentral:rRNA from 1 species